AUUGAACGCUGGCGGCUUGCUUUACACAUGCAAGUCGAACGGUAACAGGCCUUCGGGUGCUGACGAGUGGCGAACGGGUGAGUAAUGCAUCGGAACGUACCCAGAGGUGGGGGAUAACGCAGCGAAAGCUGUGCUAAUACCGCAUGUGAUCUGAGGAUGAAAGCGGGGGACCGAGCAGCAAUGUUUGGCCUCGCGCCUUUGGAGCGGCCGAUGUCGGAUUAGCUAGUUGGUGGGGUAAAGGCCUACCAAGGCGACGAUCCGUAGCUGGUCUGAGAGGACGACCAGCCACACUGGGACUGAGACACGGCCCAGACUCCUACGGGAGGCAGCAGUGGGGAAUUUUGGACAAUGGGCGCAAGCCUGAUCCAGCAAUGCCGCGUGCGGGAAGAAGGCCUUCGGGUUGUAAACCGCUUUUGGCAGGAACGAAACGGUGUCCGCUAAUACCGGGCGCUAAUGACGGUACCUGCAGAAUAAGCACCGGCUAACUACGUG
rnacentral:rRNA from 1 species